rnacentral:lncRNA from 1 species
UGAUACCUUUUUGAAAAAGACUUACUAAUUCAGUUGAUCAGUGAACCAAGGCAGAAAGUCCCUCAGAACCCUUCUGCAAGUUCUGAAGUUUACUGACAAGGCGUGGCAUACGACAUCGGUUGCAGGCAGACCCGAAGCAGUAUGGGUUAUACGACAUUGGUUCCAGGAAGAACUGAGGCAGUAUAGCCUAUCCAUCACCUGACAGUUCUGAUUUUUGAAAGUUCUAAUUCCUUUUGUCAACCUUUAUGGCCUCGAUUCUUGGGGAGCCGGUGUUAAAACAGCUUUCUGCCUUGGUUUAACCGCGAAACGAGGCAUAUAGGUUGAAGAUAAUUUCAAAUUUUCCAUUCUAUAUUUUAUUUUUAUUUUUUUUAGACCACUUUAGGCAUCAGAUUCAUGAAUAAUCGAGGCGAUAAGGGGCCUAUUGCAUCGAUUAAGUUAGGAACUGAGGUAGUAUCUCUUUCGAUAAAGUAUCUCCUAGCACUAUUCCUCUUGAUCUCAACGGCGCACCCUCGGCUUCAUUUCCCUCUCCCCGACCAUUUUCUAGUUGCCUCCAUUGUUGUCGCAUCGAUCAACCUUUCUGCUUCCAUUUGUCUCGCGCAAAUUGCGUUGCUCGCCGUCGGUCGUUCGUUGCCACCACUGGUCGUUCAUUGUCACCAUCAAUUAUUCGUCACCGCUACUGGUCAUUCGUC